AGAGAUUGCCGGCGAGAGCCGGCCCUACAACCACACACACCUGUGAACCGUCCGGAGCCAGCGAACGGGCCUCGGCCCUAAUAGCGUCCGCUUUACAAACGUCUAGAAAUGUCACGAACGUAGUCUUAUUUUAACAAAUA
rnacentral:misc_RNA from 1 species